rnacentral:rRNA from 1 species
UUAUAUGGUCAAGCAUGAAAGUGCAUCCGGUGGAUGCCUUGGCAGCCAAAGGCGAUGAAGGACGUCGUAACCUGCGAUAAGCCUCGGGGAGCCGGUAAACAGGCCCUGAUCCGGGGAUUUCCGAAUGGGGAAACCCACCGCUUUCGGGCGGUAUCCAUACCUGAAUCCAUAGGGUAUGGAGGCGAACCCGGGGAACUGAAAUAUCUAAGUACCCGGAGGAAAAGAAAUCAACCGAGAUUCCCUCAGUAGCGACGAGCGAACGGGGAACAGCCCUUAAGCCCAUGAAUGGUUAGUGGAAGCAUCUGGAAAGUUGCGCGAUACAGGGUGAUAGCCCCGUACACGAAAACGAUCCAUGGGUGAAAUCGAGUAGGACGGGGCACGUGAAACCCUGUCUGAACUGUCUUCGGACGAGGGGGGACCAUCCUCCAAGGCUAAAUACUCUUGGCUUACCGAUAGUGAACCAGUACCGUGAGGGAAAGGCGAAAAGAACCCCUGUGAGGGGAGUGAAAUAGAACCUGAAACCGGAUGCAUACAAGCAGUGGGAGCCUACCGCCUCCCGGCUUUGGGAAUAUCCUUCGGGAGAAGACCCGUCAAGCUGGGACGCAAGGUGGGUGACUGCGUACCUUUUGUAUAAUGGGUCAGCGAGUUACUUUUACUGGCAAGGUUAACCGUUUAGGGGAGCCGUAGGGAAACCGAGUCUUAACAGGGCGUUCAACCUCGCUUGCGAGGCAGUCGGUAGGAGUAGGCCCGAAACCGAGCGAUCUAGCCAUGGGCAGGGUGAAGGUUGAGUAACAUCAACUGGAGGCCCGAACCCACUAAUGUUGAAAAAUUAGGGGAUGACCUGUGGCUCGGAGUGAAAGGCUAAUCAAGCUCGGAGAUAGCUGGUUCUCCUCGAAAUCUAUUUAGGUAGAGCCUCUCGUAUCACCGCCGGGGGUAGAGCACUGUUUGGGCUAGGGGGUCACCUAGACUUACCAACCCCAUGCAAACUCCGAAUACCGGUGAGUGCAAUCGAGGGAGACACACGGCGGGUGCUAACGUCCGUCGUGGAAAGGGAAACAACCCAGACCGCCAGCUAAGGUCCCCAAGUGACAGUUAAGUGGGAAACGAUGUGGGAAGGCCCAGACAGCCAGGAGGUUGGCUUAGAAGCAGCCAUCCUUUAAAGAAAGCGUAAUAG